rnacentral:rRNA from 1 species
CAAUACAACUUUUAACAACGGAUCUCUUGGCUCUCCCAUCGAUGAAGAACGCAGCGAAAUGCGAUAAGUAAUGUGAAUUGCAGAAUUCAGUGAAUCAUCGAAUUUUUGAACGCACCUUGCGCUCCCUGGUAUUCCGGGGAGCACGCCUGUUCGAGUGUCGUGAAAUUCUCAAGCUGGGAUGUUUUCUUGGCUUGGUGUUGGGCUUUGCAGUUCCUUUGAUUGGGAUAGCUGGCCUCAAAAGUAUUAGCUGGCUUUCAUGUGGGGAUUGGUUUGACUAGCGUGAUAUAAUCUGACCGCUGAGGACAUCUUG